GGGAAUAACGGCUGGAAACGGUCGCUAAUACCGCAUAACGUACGGAUGGGACAUCCUGUCUGUACCAAAGAUUUAUCGCUCGAAAGAUGGGCUCGCGUCCGAUUAGGUAGUUGGUGAGGUAACGGCCCACCAAGCCGACGAUCGGUAGCCGGACUGAGAGGUUGAACGGCCACAUUGGGACUGAGACACGGCCCAGACUCCUACGGGAGGCAGCAGUGGGGGAUAUUGCACAAUGGGGGAAACCCUGAUGCAGCGACGCCGCGUGUGGGAAGACGGUCUUCUGGAUUGUAAACCACUGUCCCCAGGGACGAAAAUGACGGUACCUGGGGAGGAAGCUCCCGCUAACUACGUGCCAGCAGCCGCGGUAAUACGUAGGGAGCAAGCGUUGUCCGGAAUUACUGGGUGUAAAGGGAGCGUAGGCGGGGAUGCAAGUUGGGUGUCAAAACUACCGGCUCAACCGAUAGUCGCACUCAAAACUGCAACUCUUGAGUGAAGUAGAGGCAGGCGGAAUUCCUAGUGUAGCGGUGAAAUGCGUAGAUAUUAGGAGGAACACCAGUGGCGAAGGCGGCCUGCUGGGCUUUAACUGACGCUGAGGCUCGAAAGUGUGGGGAGCAAACAGGAUUAGAUACCCUGGUAGUCCACACCGUAAACGAUGA
rnacentral:rRNA from 1 species